rnacentral:rRNA from 1 species
UACGUAGGGCGCAAGCGUUGUCCGGAAUCAUUGGGCGUAAAGAGCGUGUAGGCGGUUCGGUAAGUCGGCUGUGAAAGCCCAGGGCUCAACCCUGGGAUGCCGGUCGAUACUGCCGGACUAGAGUUCGGAAGAGGCGAGUGGAAUUCCCGGUGUAGCGGUGAAGUGCGCAGAUAUCGGGAGGAACACCUAUGGCGAAGGCAGCUCGCUGGGACGUUACUGACGCUGAGACGCGAAAGCGUGGGGAGCAAACAGG